CUGCUGAACCUGUUGGGAAUCAAUCCCAUCGCAGGGUAGGCAAGUUGGGAAUGGAUAAACGCUGAAGGCAUCUAAGCGUGAAGCCAACCUCAAGAUGAGAUAUCCCAUCGCAAGAGUAAGACCCCUUGAAGAGAACGAGGUAGAUAGGACUGAGGUGUAAGUGUAGCAAUACAUUCAGCUGACAGUUACUAAUAGGUCGAGGGCUUAUCCAAU
rnacentral:rRNA from 1 species